UUUGCACUGGUUCUCUUGGCAGUUUCCGUUCAUGAAUCUCUGCUCUGCUGUGACUAAAGCAGAGAGAAAUUUGUUGCCAAUCUCCUCAUCUUUGCUUUCUUCAUCAUUACUCCAUAUUUAUCCAUCGUAUAAAGCAAAUUACAGAAAACAGGCACAGAGAACCCAAAUUUAUGAAGAGACCAUUUCCACGUUUGUUUAAAAGUUGCUUGCUUGGAUCUUCAGGCACAUUUCCCUUGAAUUCCAAGCCAGAUCACAAAAGACUGAAAUAUAAUACAGUAUAAUGUUCAAGAUGUCACUGUUAGGAGCUGGGGGGAAAGGAUGAAGCAUGAGCC